GAUGAACGCUGGCGGCGUGCCUAACACAUGCAAGUCGAGCGUGAACCCUUAGAAUGAAACUUCGGUCGAAUGAAGAGGGGGAAAGCGGCGGACGGGUGAGUAACGCGUAGGCAACCUGCCCCGUACAGAGGGAUAGCCUCGGGAAACCGGGAUUAAAACCUCAUAAUACCAUGGUAUCACAUGAUGCAAUGGUCAAAGAUUUUAUCGGUAUGGGAUGGGCCUGCGUCUGAUUAGCUGGUUGGUGGGGUAACGGCCUACCAAGGCAACGAUCAGUAGCCGACCUGAGAGGGUAAUCGGCCACAUUGGAACUGAGACACGGUCCAAACUCCUACGGGAGGCAGCAGUGGGGAAUAUUGCACAAUGGGCGAAAGCCUGAUGCAGCAACGCCGCGUGAGCGAAGAAGGCCUUUGGGUCGUAAAGCUCUGUCGGGAAGGAAGAUAAUGACGGUACUUCCCGAGGAAGCCCCGGCUAACUACGUG
rnacentral:rRNA from 1 species